UGGAGGCAGCAGUGAGGAAUUUUGCGCAAUGGGAGCAAUCCUGACGCAGCAACGCCGCGUGAGUGAUGAAGGCCUUCGGGUCGUAAAGCUCUGUCAGGUGGGAAGAAGUGAGUGGAUGCAAAUAGUUUUCGCUCUUGACGGUACCACCAGAGGAAGCACCGGCUAACUCCGUGCCAGCAGCCGCGGUAAUACGGAGGGUGCAAGCGUUAUUCGGAAUUACUGGGCGUAAAGCGCGUGUAGGCGGGAAGGUAAGUCUGAUGUGAAAGCCCCGGGCUUAACCUGGGAAGUGCAUUGGAAACUGCUUUUCUUGAGUACUGGAGAGGAAGGGAGAAUUCCCGGUGUAGAGGUGAAAUUCGUAGAGAUCGGGAGGAACACCAGUGGCGAAGGCGCCCUUCUGGACAGUUACUGACGCUGAGACGCGAAAGCGUGGGGAGCAAACAGGAUUAGAUACCCCCGUAGUCC
rnacentral:rRNA from 1 species